GUGUUUUUCUCUCCGUGUCAACCUCCGUCUGAAGGUGCAGCCCUGACUGGUUCCAGGAAGUAUCUCACCUGAGUCUCUAGUGUCCAGGUGUGGAGUGGAGACUUUUCUUCUUCUUCUUCUUCUUCUUCUUCUUCUUCUUCUUCUUCUUCUUCUUCUUCUUCUUCUUCUUCUUCUUCUUCUUCUUCAGCUCUUUGAAUAAACGCUGAGUCUGGUUUGUCUUAGGGUUAGGGUUCACUAACUGUUUCUCUCAUGUUUGGAGAAGAUGUUCACUACAGAGUUUGGAUCACAGCAGCUUUAUGUGACAGAAUCAGAGCCAAUCAGUGGAGGAUCAGCUGAUGUUUUUACAGCACAAAUGAUUCCAGUUCAUGUUCAGAUGAAUGAUUUGUGUUUCCUCUGCACAUGAAGGUAGAAAGUUGAUGUGGAUUCAGCAGCAUGGACCAGAGGGAGGACAAAGAGGAGGGAGUCAGACGUCUGCAGGAUGGGUUGACUGGUUUCAGUCAUUCAUUUGACCCCAGCUGUGUUUCCCUCAGGAGUGAUCGGUCACAUGAUCGCUGGAUUCAUUUUAAAGGACAUCAACCCUCUGCUCCUGAGAGGAUCAGUCCAGACCCCAGCUGUGUUUCCCUCAAGAGUGAUCGGUCCAAUGAUCGCUGGAUUCAUUUUAAAGGACAUCAACCUUCUGCUCCUGAGAGGAUCAGUCCAGAUCCCAGCUGUGUUUCCCUCAACAGUGAUAAGUC